AAAUUGAAGAGUUUGAUCAUGGCUCAGAUUGAACGCUGGCGGCAGGCCUAACACAUGCAAGUCGAACGGUAACAGGAAGCAGCUUGCUGCUUUGCUGACGAGUGGCGGACGGGUGAGUAAUGUCUGGGAAACUGCCUGGUGGAGGGGGAUAACUACUGGAAACGGUAGCUAAUACCGCAUAACGUCGCAAGACCAAAGAGGGGGACCUUCGGGCCUCUUGCCAUCGGAUGUGCCCAGAUGGGAUUAGCUAGUAGGUGGGGUAACGGCUCACCUAGGCGACGAUCCCUAGCUGGUCUGAGAGGAUGACCA
rnacentral:rRNA from 1 species